GUAGGUGGCAAGCGUUGUCCGGAAUUAUUGGGCGUAAAGCGCGCGCAGGCGGUUCUUUAAGUCUGAUGUGAAAGCCCACGGCUCAACCGUGGAGGGUCAUUGGAAACUGGAGAACUUGAGUACAGAAGAGGAAAGCGGAAUUCCACGUGUAGCGGUGAAAUGCGUAGUGAUGUGGAGGAACACCAGUGGCGAAGGCGGCUUUCUGGUCUGUAACUGACGCUGAGGCGCGAAAGCGUGGGGAGCAAACAGGAUUAGAUACCCUGGUAGUCCACGCCGUAAACGAUGAGUGCUAAGUGUUAGGGGGGUUUCCGCCCCCCUUAGUGCUGCAGCUAACGCAUUAAGCACUCCGCCUGGGAGUACGGCCGCAAGGCUG
rnacentral:rRNA from 1 species